GUCAAAAUCUAUUUUCAACUGAAGAGAGAUAUGGGAAGAUUUUGGAGAUGAUUCCAGAUGAAUCUGUUACUUCUGAGCUUCAGGGAAAGUGGCAGAAUAAUAAACGAUCCUCCAUUUCAAAAGAAGACAUUAAUCUUGUUCGAUGGGAGCAGCUAAAGCAUUCAUUACAAUCUGGACAAAAGAAGGCACAAGGACUUCGUAGAUGUGUU
rnacentral:misc_RNA from 1 species